rnacentral:rRNA from 1 species
GUGAGGAAUAUUGCGCAAUGGAGGCAACUCUGACGCAGCCAUGCCGCGUGCAGGAAGAAGGCGCUACGCGUUGUAAACUGCUUUUAACCGAGAAACCCCAGGACGUGUCCUGGGUUGACGGUACCGGAGGAAUAAGCACCGGCUAACUUCGUGCCAGCAGCCGCGGUAAUACGAAGGGUGCAAGCGUUAUCCGGAUUCAUUGGGUUUAAAGGGUGCGUAGGCGGAGCGUUAAGUCAGUGGUGAAAUCCUGCAGCUUAACUGUAGACUAGCCAUUGAUACUGGCGCUCUUGAGUGCGCUUGAAGUGGGCGGAAUGUGCCGUGUAGCGGUGAAAUGCUUAGAUAUGGCACAGAACACCAAUUGCGAAGGCAGCUCACUAAGGCGAUACUGACGCUGAGGCACGAAAGCGUGGGGAUCGAACAGGAUUAGAUACCCUUGUAGUCC